rnacentral:rRNA from 1 species
UGUGUAGGCGGUUUGAUAAGUUAGAUGUGAAAUCUUCGGGCUCAACCCGGAAACUGCAUUUAAUACUAUUAGACUAGAGUACGAAAGAGGGAGAUGGAAUUCUCGGUGUAAGAGUGAGAUCUGCAGAUAUCGAGAGGAACACCAGUAGCGAAGGCGAUCUCCUGGGUCGAUACUGACGCUGAAACACGAAAGCUAGGGGAGCGAACAGGAUUAGAUACCCUGGUAGUCC